GGAAGUGAGGCAGGGCGCACGGUGGAUGCCCUGGCUCCUGGAGGCGAUGAAGGGCGCGACAAGCGGCGCCCGAAUGGGGCAACCCGGCCAGCGGAAGGCUGGCCAUCCCCCCGCAGGGGGGAGGCGAACCCGGUGAACCGAAACAUCCCAGUAGCCGGAGGAGGAGAAGACAACAGUGAUUCCCCGAGUAGCGGCGAGCGAAAGGGGAGGAGCCCAAACCCCGCGGGUUGCGGCCCGCGGGGGGUAGUAGGGCCCACGGAAUCGCGCGGCCGGCGCGAGCCGAGUCGCCUGGAACGGCGUCCCGGAGAGGGUGAUAGGCCCGUAGGCGAAGCGGCCGGCCGCGCGAGGUGGCGUCCCUGAGUAGGGCGGGACCCGAGGAAUCCCGCCCGAACCCGCCGGGACCACCCGGCAAGGCUAAAUACUCCCAGGAGACCGAUAGCGAACCAGUACCGUGAGGGAAAGGUGAAAAGCACCCCGCGCAGGGGAGUGAAAUAGUACCUGAAACCGUGCGCCCACAAGCGGUCGGAGCCCCUCCGGGGGUGACGGCGUGCCUUUUGCAUAAUGAGCCUACGAGUCACGGUGGCCGGCGAGGUUAACCCGCGCAGCGGGGGAGCCGUAGCGAAGGCGAGUCCGAACAGGGCGAGAGUCGGCUGCCGUGGGCGCGAAACUUGGCGAUCUACCCAUGGCCAGGCUGAAGGCCCGGUGAAACGGGCUGGAGGGCCGAACGGGUAAGCGUUGAAAAGCUUUCCGAUGAGCUGUGGGUAGGGGUGAAAGGCCAAUCAAGCUGAGAGAUAGCUCGUACUCCCCGAAAUGCCUUUAGGGGCAGCCUCGGGGGAGCCGCCCGGAGGUAGAGCGACUGGCUGGACGCGAGGGCUUCGCCGCCUAUCAAGUCCUGCCAAACUCCGAAUGCCGGCGCGGCGCUCCCCGGGAGUGAGCCACGGGGUGCUAAUGUCCCGUGACGAGAGGGAAAGAACCCGGACCAGCGGCUAAGGCCCCGAAGCGCGCGCUAAGUUGACCAAACGCGGUGCGGCCGCAGAGACAGCUAGGAUGUUGGCUUGGAAGCAGCCAUUCAUUCAAAGAGUGCGUAACAGCUCACUAGUCGAGCGGCCGUGCAUGGAUAAUGAGCGGGCAUCAAGCGCGCCGCCGAGGCCCUGGAUUGCGCCGUUGGGCGCAGUGGUAGGGGAGCAUUCCCCGCCGCGCCGAAGCGGCCGCGCGAGCGGCCGUGGAGCGCGGGGAAAGGCAAAUGUAGGCAUGAGUAGCGAUAACGCCGGUGGGAAACCGGCGCACCGAUAGACCAAGGUUUCCUGAUCAACGCUAAUCGGAUCAGGGUGAGCCGGGGCCUAAGGCUAAGGCGAAGGCCGACGCCGAUGGGGAACGGGUUAAUAUUCCCGUGCUGGCCACGGUUGCGAUGGGGCGACGGAGGUGUGGCAGCCACGCCCGGUGACGGAAGUCCGGGCCGAAGGGGGGUAGGUAUAGGCCGGGGGUAACGCCCCGGGCUGCCGAGCCCCGAGAGCGCCGCGAGCCCCUGGGCGAGCGGUUAAGUGGCGUAAUCGAGCUCCCGAGAAAACCCCCUAAGCGUCAGACCGUGGGCACCCGUACCGGAAACCGACACAGGUGGUCAAGGAGAGGAUCCUGAGGUGCUCGAGUGAUUCACGGCCAAGGAACUAGGCAAACUGACCCUGUAACUUCGGGAGAAAGGGUCCCCGCCGCGAGGCGGGGCGCAGAGAAGUGGCCCAAGCGACUGUUUAGCAAAAACACAUGGCUCUGCCAAAUCGCGAGAUGACGUAUAGGGCCUGACACCUGCCCGGUGCCGGAAGGUUAAGAGGGGGCGUUAGGGGCGACCCGAGGCGCUGAAUUGAAGCCCCGGUAAACGGCGGCCGUAACUAUAACGGUCCUAAGGUAGCGAAAUUCCUUGUCGGGUAAGUUCCGACCUGCACGAACGCUGCUUUUGCGUUGGCGUUGUGUAGGAUAGGCCGGAGGCUUUGAAGGGGCAUCGCCAGAUGCCCUGGAGCCGCUGUUGAAAUACGGCCCUUCGCCCGCGCGGGAGCUAACCCCUGUCGGGGGGACACCGCGUGGCGGGUAGUUUGACUGGGGUGGUCGCCUCCAAAAGGGUAACGGAGGCUUCCCAAGGUGCCCUCAGCGCGGAUGGUAAUCGCGCGGCGCGUGCAAUGGCACAAGGGCGCUUGACUGCGAGACCGACGGGUCGAGCAGGUGCGAAAGCAGGGCAUAGUGAUCCGGUGGUUCCGCGUGGAAGGGCCAUCGCUCAAAGGAUAAAAGGUACUCCGGGGAUAACAGGCUGAUCG
rnacentral:rRNA from 1 species